CCUACGGGAGGCAGCAGUGGGGAAUAUUGCACAAUGGGCGGAAGCCUGAUGCAGCGACGCCGCGUGAGGGAUGAAGGCCUUCGGGUUGUAAACCUCUUUCAGCAGGGACGAAGCGUGAGUGACGGUACCUGCAGAAGAAGCACCGGCUAACUACGUGCCAGCAGCCGCGGUAAUACGUAGGGUGCGAGCGUUGUCCGGAAUUACUGGGCGUAAAGAGUUCGUAGGCGGUUUGUCGCGUCGUUUGUGAAAACCCGGGGCUCAACUUCGGGCUUGCAGGCGAUACGGGCAGACUUGAGUGUUUCAGGGGAGACUGGAAUUCCUGGUGUAGCGGUGAAAUGCGCAGAUAUCAGGAGGAACACCGGUGGCGAAGGCGGGUCUCUGGGAAACAACUGACGCUGAGGAACGAAAGCGUGGGUAGCAAACAGGAUUAGAUACCCUGGUAGUCCACGCCGUAAACGGUGGGCGCUAGGUGUGGGUUCCUUCCACGGGAUCUGUGCCGUAGCUAACGCAUUAAGCGCCCGCCUGGGGAGUACGGCCGCAAGGCUAAAACGUCAAGGAAUUGACGG
rnacentral:rRNA from 1 species